rnacentral:lncRNA from 1 species
AACAAAGGUGUUUCAGAACAAUAACCAUUAAGCCAAGUCAGAACCAUAAAGAAGAGAUAGGGACCCAAUGAUGCCAAGGGGCUCAUAGCCCAAAUCGACUUUGCCAUCUCCCUCCCUCCUCCCCCUCCAUCAUACCUUCUCUUCUGGCUUUUUGCCUCAUCUCUAUUAAUGGAAUUAUUGUUCUAAAUCCUGACACACAAAUUCAAGCUCAAUGUCCAGUCUACUUCCUCAGUGUUUCAAAUAGUUAAAUUCACAAAUUUGGAAUCGAGGCCUCAGUUCAAAUCCAGGCAUUCCUGGAGGCUUGACCUUGGUUAAAUGACUUUACCUCUCUGCUUUCCGUUGGUUCUGAUGAAAAAACUACCUCAUGAGAUUAUUGUGUCUAUUGAAGGACAUCUGAUUCGUUUACUGUGCCCAGGGGAUGUGUGACAAAGUAACUCUGAGUGAGCUGCAUCCCAAGGAUUUUGAACCUUUGCUGAAGUGAUACUGAGAAGGAACUGGACUGAGUGGGCAGACUGAAACCUGGACUAGGCUGUUGAAGUUGACAUGGGUAUCAUUUAAGUGAAUUGCCCAGACUUCAGAAUAUGUCUUGAUAUCAAAUUACUGUAUGAUUGACCUAGUGGUGCCACAAAGUAUACUUUGGGUUGAUUUUCCCAGAAAGGGAUGAAUAUUCCUAUCAUCAAUCAUUCUGAAUUAGAAAAUGAAAACCUGGUGGCUGGGCUUCAAAAGCGAGGUAAGGAAAAACUUCUCUUUCUGAGGAUGAAAAUCAGUUGUGCCUGAAUUUCAACCAUGGGGAUGUCUGGAGUGAUUUCCAUAGUGAAGGCAAGCCUCAUUAAGAUUUUGCACCUGUUUUCUGAUGUGCUAUGAAGAAUUAAAGAAAGAGCCUGCCUCAUAGUUGAGACAAAAUAAGAGACAGCAGCAUUUCUUCCUAUAACAGUUGCUGCAGUAGGGUGCGGCGGCUCAUGCCUGUAAUCCCAGCACUUUGGGAGCCUGAGGUAUACACCUAACUGUGGACACAUUCAUCUUACUAAUCUGUAGGGAGAUAUUGCUGGAGUAUAGAGUAAAUAGAAGAAAAA